rnacentral:rRNA from 1 species
AGUGGCGGACGGGUGAGUAACACGUAAGAAUUUACCUUUAGGAGGGGGAUAACAACUGGAAACGGUUGCUAAUACCCCAUAUGCUUUCGAGUGAAAUGGUUUUUCCGCCUAAAGAGAAGCUUGCGGCUGAUUAGCUUGUUGGUGAGGUAAUGGCUCACCAAGGCGACGAUCAGUAUCUGGUUUGAGAGGACGAUCAGACACACUGGAACUGAGACACGGUCCAGACUCCUACGGGAGGCAGCAGUGGGGAAUUUUCCGCAAUGGGCGAAAGCCUGACGGAGCAAUACCGCGUGAGGGAUGAAGGCCUAUGGGUUGUAAACCUCUUUUUUCAGGGAGGAAUAAAAUGACGUGUACCUGAAGAAUAAGCAUCGGCUAACUCCGUGCCAGCAGCCGCGGUAAGACGGGGGAUGCAAGUGUUAUCCGGAAUCACUGGGCGUAAAGCGUCUGUAGGUGGUUUAAUAAGUCAACUGUUAAAUCUUGAGGCUCAACCUCAAAAUCGCAGUCGAAACUGUUUGACUAGAGUAUAGUAGGGGUAAAGGGAAUUUCCAGUGGAGCGGUGAAAUGCGUAGAGAUUGGAAAGAACACCAAUGGCGAAGGCACUUUACUGGGCUAUUACUAACACUGAGAGACGAAAGCUAGGGUAGCAAAUGGGAUUAGAUACCCCAGUAGUCCUAGCUGUAAACAAUGGAUACUAGAUGUU